GAUGAACGCUGGCGGCGUGUCUAAGGCAUGCAAGUCGAACGGACUGUUAUUUGUAGCAAUACUUAGAACAGUUAGUGGCAAACGGGUGCGUAACACAUUGGUAACCUGCCUCAAAGUCGGGCAUAAUCCCGCGAAAGUGGGACUAAUUCCACGAUAGUCAUCGAAGGUGAGAUUCCUUCGAUGUAAAGUCGCAAGACGCUUUGAGAGGGGCCUAUGGCCUAUCAGCUUGUUGGUGAGGUAACGGCUCACCAAGGCUAUGACGGGUAGGGGUGGUGAGAGCAUGACCCCCUCCACUGGGACGUGAGACACUGCCCACGACACCUACGGGUGGCGUGCAGUCGAGAA
rnacentral:rRNA from 1 species